rnacentral:hammerhead_ribozyme from 1 species
GCAUUGCUGAGGAGUCCUAAACUAGGAUGAAACGGCCGUCCAGUGC